UUUCCGUAGGUGAACCUGCGGAAGGAUCAUUAGCACAUUUUGUGAUUUUCUGAUUUCUUACCCUCUUUUGGUGUGGCUGAUUGCUGUGAGGUGGCGAGGUUUGUCCCGCAUGGGACGGCCUCUUUUCAUUUUCAAAACCCCUUCCAACCAACACGACAAACAGUGAACCAAUGUAUCCAAAUAACGCUGAACAACUCUUAGCAACGGAUAUCUUGGCUCUC
rnacentral:misc_RNA from 1 species